rnacentral:rRNA from 1 species
AUACGUAGGGUGCGAGCGUUGUCCGGAAUUACUGGGCGUAAAGAGCUCGUAGGUGGUUUGUCGCGUCGUCUGUGAAAUUCCGGGGCUUAACUCCAGGCGUGCAGGCGAUACGGGCAUAACUUGAGUACUGUAGGGGAGACUGGAAUUCCUGGUGUAGCGGUGAAAUGCGCAGAUAUCAGGAGGAACACCGGUGGCGAAGGCGGGUCUCUGGGCAGUAACUGACGCUGAGGAGCGAAAGCAUGGGUAGCGAACAGGAUUAGAUACCCUGGUAGUCCAUGCCGUAAACGGUGGGCGCUAGGUGUAGGGGUCUUCCACGACUUCUGUGCCGUAGCUAACGCAUUAAGCGCCCCGCCUGGGGAGUACGGCCGCAAGGCUAAAACUCAAAGGAAUUGACGGGG